rnacentral:rRNA from 1 species
UACGUAGGCAGCGAGCGUUGUUCGGAGUUACUGGGCGUAAAGAGUGCGUAGGCGGUUUUCUAAGUUUGGUGUGAAAUCUCCCGGCUUAACUGGGAGGGUGCGCCGAAAACUGGAAGGCUUGAGUAUGGGAGAGGUAAGCGGAAUUCCUGGUGUAGCGGUGAAAUGCGUAGAUAUCAGGAGGAACACCUGCGGUGUAGACGGCUUACUGGACCAUAAUUGACGCUGAGGCACGAAAGCGUGGGUAGCAAACAGG